rnacentral:rRNA from 1 species
AUAAUUUAAAGUCAAAUYUGCUCCAUGAAAAUAUUUAAAUAGCUGCAGUAUUUUGACUGUACAAAGGUAGCAUAAUCAAUAGUUUUUUAAUUAAAAGCUGGAAUGAAUGAUUUGAUAAGGUAAAUUUUGUCUCAAUUUUAAUGGUUGUAGAAUUUUUUUUUUAGUAAAAAAACUAAAAUGUUUUUAAAAGACGAGAAGACCCUAUAGAUUUUUAUAUUUUAAAUAUAAAAAAUUUAAAUAUAAUUUGUUAUUAUAUUAAAAAAUAUUUGGUUGGGGAAAUUAUUAAAUUAAAUAAAUUUUAAUUUUUAAUUAACAAUAAUGAUUGAUUUAAUGAUCUUUAUAUUAAGAUUUAUAGAUUAAAUUACCUUAGGGAUAACAGCGUAAUUUUUUUUGAUAGAUCAUAUUGAUAAAAAAGUUUGCGACCUCGAUGUUGAAUUAAGAUUAAAUUUUAAUGUAGAAGUUAAAAAUUUUUGGUCUGUUCRACCAUUAAAAUCUUACGUGAUC